UGUCUUUAUCAGCAGUGUGAAAACAUACUAAUAUAGCAGGAAAGCCAGCCCAGGUGGAGAUCCAGCCCAAACCUGAAGGCCAGAGACCCAGGGGAGCCAAUGGCGACAAUCUCCAUCUGAGCCAGAAGGCCUAACAAUAGGGAGUACCAGUGUCUGAGGACAGGAGGAGAUGGAUGUCCUGGCUCCAGCGGAGAGAGAUGCCAUUCCAAGAAAACCAUGGAAGCAGAAAAGAGGAAAGCAGAAACACAGAUGAAGCAAGAGGCUAUGUCCUCUGUGCAUGGAGACAGCAGAUCUAUUAGUAGACAGGAUGAAGAGAAAAGGUGUGAAGAAAAGCCACAUGGCUGAUGUGACAAGGAAGAAAGUGGGUCUCUCAGCUCUUCCCUUCUUGUUUUUGCCCUUUUCCCAGUACCAAGAAAUGUAUUUUUGGGGGCCACAUUCUUCCCACCAUAAUUUAGAAGGAUGCUGUUGCCAGGUUUGAAGACCACUUGAAACAAUAAUUGUUGUUAUUCUGCUAUACUCACCAAGAAUGACAAAACUAUUUACAUACUGGGGAUAGCGUGCUAGAAAAAUUGCUAAACAAAUAGUAUUUUUUCCUUCCAUAAAAUCAGAGUUGUAAAGAGCAAUAUAUUAGGCAUUUUCUUUGCCAGAGAACUUUAGCUAUGAUUUUCUGCUUCUUUAAAAUUCAUAUUAAUGAUCGUAGAUACCAGGUAUCUAAGGGAAAGACUCUUUGCAACAUCUUCUAUAUAUACCCUGGGUGUUUCUGUAUUGAAUUUACUUAAGAUUUAGGCUCUACAGUUUGAUCUCAAUCAUGUAAAAAUAUAUAGCAAGAAGGCUCCUGGGACAAAAACUGAAAUGUUUAUUAUUAAUUUUCUCUGGGCAUUGAAAUUCUGGAUGAUUUUAUUUUUUCAUACUUCUUUCUAUUUUCCAUAUAUUUUACAAUCUGUAUUCAUAGCUUCAAAAAUAAAAUAGUUGCUG
rnacentral:lncRNA from 1 species